GCCUGAUCCAGCCAUGCCGCGUGGUGAUGAAGGCCUUAGGGUCGUAAAGCUCUUUCGCCAGGGAUGAUAAUGACAGUACCUGGUAAAGAAACCCCGGCUAACUCCGUGCCAGCAGCCGCGGUAAUACGGAGGGGGUUAGCGUUGUUCGGAAUUACUGGGCGUAAAGCGCACGUAGGCGGAUUAKUCAGUCAGAGGUGAAUAUCCCRGGGYUCAACCCUGGAACUGCCUUUGAUACUGCUAGUCUGGAGUUCGAGAGAGGUGAGUGGAAUUCCGAGUGUAGAGGUGAAAUUCGUAGAUAUUCGGAGGAACACCAGUGGCGAAGGCGGCUCACUGGCUCGAUACUGACGCUGAGGUGCGAAAGUGUGGGGAGCAAACAGGAUUAGAUACCCUGGUAGUCCACACCGUAAACGAUGAAUGCCAGUCGUCGGGCAGUAUACUGUUCGGUGACACACCUAACG
rnacentral:rRNA from 1 species